AUUGAACGCUGGCGGCAUGCCUUACACAUGCAAGUCGAACGGCAGCGGACCUUCGGGUGCCGGCGAGUGGCGAACGGGUGAGUAAUGCAUCGGAACGUGCCAUUGAGUGGGGGAUAACGUAGCGAAAGUUGCGCUAAUACCGCAUAUUCUGUGCGCAGGAAAGCAGGGGACCGCAAGGCCUUGCGCUCUUUGAGCGGCCGAUGUCAGAUUAGCUAGUUGGUGAGGUAACGGCUUACCAAGGCGACGAUCUGUAGCGGGUCUGAGAGGAUGAUCCGCCACACUGGAACUGAGACACGGUCCAGACUCCUACGGGAGGCAGCAGUGGGGAAUUUUGGACAAUGGGGGCAACCCUGAUCCAGCCAUGCCGCGUGAGUGAAGAAGGCCU
rnacentral:rRNA from 1 species